rnacentral:rRNA from 1 species
AUUGAACGCUGGCGGCAGGCCUAACACAUGCAAGUCGAACGAGUGGCGGACGGGUGAGUAAUGUCUGGGAAACUGCCUGAUGGAUGGGGAUAACUACUGGAAACGGUCGCUAAUACCGCAUACCAUCAGAUGUGCCCCGAUGGGAUUAGCUAGUUGGUUGGGUAAAGGCUCACCAAGGCGACGAGCCCUAGCUGGUCUGAGAGGAGGACGAGCCACACGGGAAGUGAGACACGGUUCAGACGCCUACGGGAGGCAGCAGUGGGGAAUAUUGCACAAGGGGCGCAAGCCGGAUGCAGCCAUGCCGCGUGUAGGAAGAAGGCCUUCGGGUUGUAAAGUACUGUCAGCGGGGAGGCGUUACCCGCAGAAGAAGCACCGGCUAACUCCGUGCCAGCAGCCGCGGUAAUUC